UACGAAGGGUGCUAGCGUUGUUCGGAAUCACUGGGCGUAAAGCGCGCGUAGGCGGCGCGACAAGUCAGGGGUGAAAUCCCAGAGCUUAACUCUGGAAUUGCCUUUGAAACUGUCGCGCUAGAGUGUUGGAGGGGAUGGCGGGAUUCCUAAUGUAGAGGUGAAAUUCGUAGAUAUUAGGAGGAACACCGGUGGCGAAGGCGGCCAUCUGGACAACAACUGACGCUGAGGCGCGAAAGCGUGGGGAUCAAACAGG
rnacentral:rRNA from 1 species